GGAUGCCUUACCAUGCAAGUCGAGCGAGGCGGCCCGUACGGGUCAGUCGAGCGGCGAACGGGUGAGUAACGCGUGGAUGACCUGCCCUUUAGUGGGGAACAACCAGGGGAAACUCUGGCUGAUACCGCAUAAGACCGAGAGGUGAAAGGGGGCUCGCAAGGGCUCUCGCUGAAGGAGGGGUCCGCGUCCGAUUAGCUAGUUGGUAGGGUAAUGGCCUACCAAGGCCACGAUCGGUAGCCGGCCUGAGAGGGUGAUCGGCCACACUGGAACUGAGACACGGUCCAGACUCCUACGGGAGGCAGCAGUGGGGAAUUUUGCGCAAUGGGCUAACGCCUGACGCAGCAACGCCGCGUGGAGGAUGAAGGUCUUUGGAUUGUAAACUCCUGUCAGCAGGGAAAAAGCGAAUCGGGUUAACACCUCGGUGAGUUGAUUGUACCUGCAGAGGAAGCCCCGGCUAACUCUGUGCCAGCAGCCGCGGUAAUACAGAGGGGGCAAGCGUUAUUCGGAAUUAUUGGGCGUAAAGGGCGCGUAGGCGGCUUGGCAAGUGAAAGGUGAAAUCCCUCGGCUUAACCGAGGAACUGCCUUUCAGACUGCUUUGCUUGAGGCCUGGAGAAGCCAGUGGAAUUCCCAGUGUACCGGUGAAAUGCGUAAAUAUUGCGAGGAACACCUGUGGGUAAAGGCAGUUCGCUUGGACCGGUUCUGACCUUGAAGCCCCAAAAGCGUGGGAAACAAACGGAAUUAGAAACCCGGGUAGGCCCUGCCAUUAACCGAUAAGUUGCUGGGGGGACGGGGAAUUUACACCCCGGUUGUGCAGAAAUCAUAAAUUUAAGGCCCUCCCGCCGGGGAAGAACGGUCACACAGCUCUAGACCUCUAUGGACAUUACUAGGGGCCCGCCCAAC
rnacentral:rRNA from 1 species